AAGAUUUUAAAUAAUUUCAGUAAAUUUCCCAUUACAGGAACAUGUAAUUUGGACUUAAAUUCUAACUAAUCAGUAAAUACAUUGAUUUAUUAACUCUAGUCAAUAAAUAAUUGUUACAGAUCCAUUAUUUUCAAGAUCCUGACGUAGAUUCAUCUAAGGAUACAAAGAUGAGUUGCAACAGACACAGUGCCUUGCCUGUAGAAGUAAAUCAUGUACAAGAGAAAGGUUCAUGGAUUAGUUAAGUUCUUUACAUCAUAAUAUAAUGUAUGGUCACAGGAUUUGUUUUUCAGAUACCAAUCUUUUUUUUUUUUUUUUUUGGUAAAACGUACUGAGUGUAAAUCGCAGGUGGAAGGAGUUGAGUAUGGAAGCUUAUUUGAGUAGUUCUCUCCACCCAAAUUGUCCUUAUUCCACCAGCCAAAGUUUUUAAAACCAGAUGGCAGGUCUUUUCUCACAUGCUGCUAAUUAUUUUUUACAUGUCCUGGGUUAUUCCACUUGAGCUGAGAUUUAUUUCAUCGAUUUUGAUGUUUUCAACUCCCCGUAUGACACAUAUCAUGAGGAGAAAGGGCUUUAAUAAAUAACUCUUUCGUCACUGUGGAUUAAAAUACAGGAAUAAUUUAUAAAGGGUAUGGGGGUUUGAACUCUUGCUUUCUGGGAUAAAAGUAAAAGAAUUAACCAUCAGCCCUGAGUAUCUUAGUCAUUUGCACGUAUAAACACACCAUGCUCUUUUAUCCAGGGCUUUUUCAAUUGAGGAAAAAUUUACAGCCAAUAAAAUAGCAGAUUUUUUUUUUUUUUUUUUCUUUUGCGGUACGUGGGCCUCUCACUGUUGUGGCCUCUCCCGUUGCGGAGCAACAGGCUCCGGACGCGCAGGCUCAGCGGCCAUGGCUCACGGGCCCCGCCGCUCCGCGGCAUGUGGGAUCUUCCCGGACCGGUGCACGAACCCAUGUCCCCUGCAUCGGCAGGCGGACUCUCAACCACUGCGCCCCCAGGGAAACCCAAAAUAGCAGAUUUUAAGUGUUCAGUUUGAGAAGUUUUGACAACCAUAUAUACUCAUGCAAGCACCACCAGAAAUAAGAUAUAGAAUAUUUCUGUCAGUCUAGAAAAUUCUCUCAUGUGCUUUCAGUUCAAUUUCCCCCACCCCAAAGGCAACCACUCUCUGAUUUCUAUCACCCUACAUUUGUUUUGCCUAUUUUUAUCCUUCACAUAAAUGAAGUCAUUUAGUAUGUAGUCUUUUGAGUCGGGCUUCUUUUGCUCAACAUGGUAUUUUUUGAGAAAUAUCCACUUCAUUGUUUGUAUCAAUGCUUUCUUCUUAUUCUUAAGUAGUAUUUCAUUAUAUCAAAAUCUGUUUAUCCAUUCUCCUACUGGUAUUUAUUUGGAUUGUUUUCACUUUGAGGAUAUUGAGAAUAAGGUCUAUGAAUGGGCUUGUACAAGUCUUUUUGUAGACAUAUAUUUUCAUUUCUCUUGGAUAAAUACCCAGUAGUAGAAUUGCUGGGUCAUUGAAGAAAUGAAUGUCAGUUGCCAAACAGUUUUCCAAAGUUGUUGUACCAUUUUAUAUUCCCACCAGCAAUGUAUAAAGGGUCUAGUUCUCUACAUCCUCACCAACAUUUGAUGUUGUCAGUUUUUUAAAUUUUUACCAUUCUGGUGGAUGUGAAAUGGUAUCUCAUUGUGGUUUUAAUUUUUAUUUCUCUGAUAACUAGUAUGUUAAGCAUCAUUUAUAAAGUGUCUACUAAAGUCUUUUGCUCAUUUUUAAAAUUAGGUAAUUUGGGGUAUUUUUUAUUGUUGAUUAUAUAUUCUGGAUAUGAGUCAAUUGUCAUAUAAAUGUAUUGAGACUAUUUUUCCCAGUCUGUGGCUUGCUUACUCAUUUUUAUAAUGAAUGUUUCAAUUUUUAAUAAGCCUAAUUUAUAUUUGUCUUUUAUGCUUAAUAUUUUCUGUGUCCUCUCUAAUAAAUCUUUACCUACCCUAAGAUUAUAAAAAUUCUUCCUAUGUUCUUAUAGAAACGUUAUGGUUCUAGCUUUUUACAUUUAGGUCUAUGAUUCAUCUCAAAUCAAUAUUCACUCAUAGAGGUCUAGUUUAUCUGACCUGAAUAACGACAUUUAUAAUCGAGCAAGAAAACAAAGUUCAACAGCAAACAGAGGAGAAUAUUUACUGGAUGACUGAUCUAAAGCAUCCUGAACGUUUCCGUAAUAAUUUAAGAUCUACUUGUCAAGUUCUAUGAAAAAGCCUUUACUGGAUUUAGAGAUUGCGUAGAGAAGAAUUAACAUCUUAACAAUGUCCAGCCUUCUUACUUCUGAGCUUGGUGUAUAUGAACAAGGCCUUCACAUGCUUGUGGUCCCUGCAGUAAAACCUCUUCAUUUGAACCACCUGCUGCAACCCUGAUUGAUUCAAAGAAACUACACUGAAUAGCCAUGGAGUGCUUUCAAAGGAAUACCUGCUGUGAAUCUAAGUUUGUGGAACCAUCAGACCACACGGUGCGAGAGACCAUGGGUUUCGGAAUCAGACACACCUGAAUUAGCAACCAGGCUCUGUCACUUACUAGCCGUGUGACCCUGGACUAUAAAGAAAUUUGAGUUGAUUUCACCAAGGGUUGACAUGAGCUGAGAGGACAUCUCCCGCCAGGCAGGGAGCAUUUGGCGCUGCUCCUAGAAACUGAACCUGGAUAUCAAAUCCAGACGGUGCUUUCUUUUCAUUCUUUUGAGUUGAAUUACUUGAAGAUGGAUGAGAAUCAUUGACAGUGAGUACAGUUGUCCUUCCAUAUCCGCAGGGGAUUGGUUCCAGGACCCCCACGGAGACCCAAAUCCACAGAUGCUCAAGCCCCUUAAAUAAAAUGGUGUGGUACGGUUGGCCCUCCCUUAUCCGUGGGUUCCCACAUUUGCAGAUUCAACCAGUGGUGAUCCGUCUUCAGUUCCAUCUUUGUGACCACCCUAUUGGCCUAGUGUCCAGCCUCUGCAAGGGACAUGCGCAGUCACUGAACUCAGGUUGUUCCAAAGCUAUGGUUUGCCAUCUGGCAUAUUUGGU